rnacentral:rRNA from 1 species
UACGUAGGGUGCAAGCGUUAAUCGGAAUUACUGGGCGUAAAGCGUGCGCAGGCGGUUUUGUAAGUCUGUCGUGAAAUCCCCGGGCUCAACCUGGGAAUUGCGAUGGAGACUGCAAGGCUAGAAUCUGGCAGAGGGGGGUAGAAUUCCACGUGUGAGCAGUGAAAUGCGUAGAGAUGUGGAGGAACACCGAUGGCGAAGGCAGCCCCCUGGGUCAAGAUUGACGCUCAUGGCAACCGAAAGCGUGGGGAGCAAACAGG